UCAGACGUGGUGUAUCGGGAACAUAGCUUCUUCUGCUUGCAUUUCGGCAGGUGUUAAUUUACAGAGGCAGUGCAGGGUUCGAAUCCCUGUGUCUGAA